rnacentral:lncRNA from 1 species
CUUUUUUUCUGGCAAAACUCUUGCAAGGCUGUUACUGCUUCAUCAGAAAGGGCUAGAACCAUGUCUGGAAGGUUAUCCACAAACCCCGCCCAUGCAGCGCAGUGGGAGUAUGCUCAGUACUCACGCACACGGGUCCUGAGAGAAGGAUGCUCUGAGGUAGUACUGGUGUGGGAGGCAGAGAGGGCCUGGGUAUGUCUCUGAAUAAAGGAGGGAAGAGGGUGGAGAGAUUGCUCCAAACCAAUUCCAAGACAAUAAAAUCCCGUUAUUCUAUGACUCAUUACACGCGUUUGAAUCCAACAACAGGUCAAAACACAUAACUUGAACUAUCAUUACAGGACACAGGACAAGUCUCCUAGAAGCAUCUUAUACUAAGGUCUGGGUGUGUUUCUCACUACCGGCAUCACCACUGUUGCACUGCACCAUUUCUUUCUUUGGAGGGGCCUAAACCACUGAGGGGAGAACUCUUUGGGUCAGUUAGUUUAGAAAAGAGAUCUGCCAAACUGCUUGUUCUCAGGGUGAAAAAGAUACUGAUUAGCCGGUAGGCCACAGUUCUGAAGCCCUCAUACUUUAAAGUAAUGUAAUUCUAAGCUUCCAUGUCUUGUAAAGAGCUGUUCACUGACUUGGCUCCCAAGCAGGAAGAAAGGGGGGUGAACGGUGCAAUGAAAACAAGAAUUCGUUCUCUUCCUUCCAAUUUUUUGAUACAAAUACGCCCUUGUUUCUCCAGUUGCAUUUUCUCACCACUCUCCCAUACUUUCCUAAUACUCUGCAUCAUCUGAUGAUGUCAAAUAAGCUAUAGGAUAUAAGAUCUUCAAAAUGUCAGCAGUAAAGUGCUUCUUGUGGCUUUUUUUCCUGGCCUAUCUGUAAAUGGCACCAGGAAAAAUCAAUCUAUUUUUAUGAGUCGUCCAACCCAGCUGGGUCUACUUAAGAAAAAUCUCCAGAUGAAAUUUAUUGAGAUGUUCCUAAAAUGCCUCCUAUUUACGUAUUACAAAUGAAACAUUAUUCAGAAUUUGGAAGUGAUUUCUGGAGUAUUUGAGGCUUUUCAUUUUGAGCCUGAAGGAACAGCCCAUAAUGAAAACUUACCGAUGGAGUUGAUAUUUGAUCACAUCUGUGUUAAUUUGGGACUGCUAACUUAUCAUUAAUAAAGCAUUUGGCUAGAAAACGAUGGCCAUAUUGACGGUCUGGUAACUUUUUUCUCCAUUUUAUGCCACAAUAACUGCCCAGUCUUAUUGUUGCCCAUUAUGAAUGCAUAAAGUUUUAUAGCCUAAGUAAUGUCAAAUGACGCAGUGUCAAGAAGACCUGGAGACAAGUUGGGAGGGUUUAGAUGGAAAAAGAAGUUGUGUGGUCCAUGCCAGCCUUGCUUGUAGUUUUACUAGGUAUUGAUCCCUUUUUUACAUACUGAUUUAGCAUCCUGAAUUAUGAUGCAGUAUUAAAUUUAAACACCACUUGAGAGCUUGUACCUCAAAGGUUGCUCUGUGUCACAACCACUUUUGACUCUGAUGGUGUCUGCCACUCUAGAGGAGGUGUUUUAUGAGAACUGUCCAUAAAAGACUGCAUGGCGGUUAGCUCUGCAGUGGAGAGAACAUGCAGUGCUUUAUAAGCAUCUGGAGGGCCAGCAAGCAUGAGCAGUCCGGUACACCAAAAAUAUUCACAAAAUCAGAGUCUUGAAAGGAACUUCCAGAGAUCAACCAGAGGCAACAGACUUGUACAUUCACUAAAACUUCAGAAAAGAGGUUUCCACAGACUUCCUUGAUAACAAAGUUUAUUAUGCAAGCCUAAUCCUAGAGGAAACUUUCCCUACACCUCCCCAAGCCUCUGCACUUCACACUCAUUCCUUUUUCUCCCAUAUCGAGGGCCAGUGAAAUCCCACCUCGUCUACCACAGAAGAAAGUGGAGUAUAAUGUAUUGGUCAAGCUUUUCAAAAAUUAGGAGUUCUUAAAUAUUUAACUAGGUAUAAUGCAUUACACUCCAGGUGUUAUUUGUAUAGUGUCUAUUUGUUGCAUAUGCACCAAGGCUAUUUUUAUGAGUGAAAUAUAUCUGAACACCAUGCUAGAACUUUUUUUUUUUUUUAGUCAGCAAGCUGGAUUGAGUUCUAGGGUCUUUUUUUUAAAUAGGUGUCAGUUAGUUGCCAGUAUUGCAAAACACAUGCUAUGUUCCUAGCAUAUUCCUAUGAUGUUUAAUGUCCAAAUAUAGAAAAGAAGGGGAAAGAGGGAAGGAGGGAAGGAUAGAAAGAGGGAGAGAAGGAGAGACAGAGAGAGGGAAGGGGAAGAGGGAAGGAGGGAGAGAGGAAGAAGGAUGAAAGGAAGGAAGGAAGAGAGGGAGGGAGGGAGGGAGGGAGGAAAUUAUUUGUCCAUUGAUUUUAGAUCUGCAUGGAACUCACUCCCGCACUUUUUUAGUCUGAUGUGGGGCCAUCCUGUUUCUCAUUGCUCGUCACUGAGGCAAUGCAGGGACAGGGGAAGGAGCAAACAGCCAGUGGACCACAGAUGGCUUUGUGUUCCAUGCAGGACCAUGGAUAGCUUUGUGCUCCGUUGCUGGGUCUAGAUUCCAGGAGAGCACAGGAAGAGCACAGAGAAGAUAAUGUGAGAACAGAAGGUGAUUUAUUCAUGGCAAUCUAAAAUGAUUUCCUUCUUGUUCACCUUUCCUUCCAAUGCCUUAGGCAAAUCUAUUAAUUCUUCCCUUACAGUGGUAAAAGAACAAAACCAAAAUAAGGUAAGGUGUGGAUUUUCUCUUCUGCAGUAUGAAAAUAUAUAGGUUUCAGAAACGAAACAGUUCAUUCAUAUCUAGAAUCCAUUAAUUGAUGGUAUUUAUUAAAAUGCAGUAAUUCAUCAGGUUUUACAAAGAAUUAAGCUAUGGAUCGCUAACAAAUUAAAUAUAACUUUUUAUUUCGAUCAAAUGGCUAGCUCACUGUACCAUGUUUUACACAACUAUCACAUUUAAUCUUCACCCAAUGGAAUAGGCAGUUGUUCUCAAAGUGCCUGGAGGUUCCUCGACCAGCAGCAUUACUCAGGAACGUGUUAGAAAUGUAAAUUCAGAGGCCUCACCUCAGACCUAUUGAAUCAGAAACUCCAGGGAUAGGACUAGCCAUCCAUGUUUUAACAAGCCUUCUGACACACAGGACAGUUGAGAAUCACCGGGCUAUGGAGUAUUCUCAUUCUAGAGUUAAGAAAACUGAGGCACGAAGACUUUAAGCAAUUUUACCAAUACCACAUAGUGAGAAACCAGUCAAGACUACAUGACUCCAAAGCCCUUGCUCUCAACUAUGAGGUUAUGCUGCAUGAUGGACUCAGUUUACUUAGGAAAACAGUGUCAAGAAUAUAGACAAAUUGGGAAAUAUACUCCAGAGAAAGAAUUUAGAUUUAAAAUAAUAAUAAUAAUAAUAACAUAUGGCUUGAAACAUGUCUUGCUUGGCUUAAUUUCUGUCUCUAAAAAUCUUGAACUGAAAACAUUCUGACUCAAAGUGUUGAAGUCAAAUCAGGUAGGUGAUGGGAAAGAAUGCUUGGACUCAGAAGGUCCAGCGAGCAGAUGGCUUCUGUCCCAUGUGACAAGGCAGCCACUAGACUAAAUGCCAGCAGAAUGAUGCUACAUCAAAAUGAUCUCUAGGGGCACCUGGGUGGCUCAGUCGGUUAAGAAGUUAAGCAUCUGACUUCAGCACAGGUCAUGAUCUUGCGGUUCGUGAGUUCGAGCCCCACGUCAGGCUCUGUGCUGACAGCUCAGAGCCUGGAACCUGCUUCGGAUUCUGUGUCUCCCUCUCUCUCUGCCCCUCCCCCGCUCAUGCUCUGUGUCUUUCUCUCUCAAAAAUAAAUAAACGUUUUUUAAAAAUCUCUAAAUUCACUAAAGAAAAGCCAGGAAUCCCAACUUGUGAGGGAAAAUUUCCAACUUUAGCUAUUUAGCUAAAACAUUAGCUAUUAAUUCAUGAAUUUUGAAAGAAGUAUGCCGAUUUUUUUAACUAUGGGUUUUGCUUACAGCAUGCCAUUUUGUAACCUUUCACUGAGAAAUCCUCACAUUUAAUGAACACAGAUCAAAUGACUGAGGGUAUAUAAGGUUUGUGAAAAAUAUGUGUGGGAAAAAGUGUGGGAAAUUGAACGUAUGGAACUGUGCUAAGUGAUCACAUAAUCAAAAGUGGGCUUAAACCUUAUGGCUAUGUCAUACUGGUCCCUUUUAUUAACUCACAGUUUGGAACAGUGAUUCCUAAUAUCACCGCAUUUGUAUAAUAUUCAUUGAGAUUGUGUGACUGCAAACCCUGAUUUCACAAGAAACUGCUUGAGUGAAUGUUGGAAAAUAAGCUUUUGAGGCAUAUGUCAAGUGUUUAUGUGGGCACCAUUUUAAAUUCUCACUGAGAAAGCCACUCUAUGGACUGAAAAACAUUCAGAGGAAGCAGGUUUGGAAAGGUUACUACAAAAUCCAUCUCAACUGCAAACAGAAGUGAUUUUAAUGCCUGUUAUUUUGGAAGCAGUUCAAAGUUGUUUUUUCCAUUGUAAAUAGCAUUAAAGUGCUCUGUGGAGGCAAGUAUUACUUUUUUCUUGGCCCACUGCACUUCAGUAAUGGCUCUUAUACACUGAAGGCACAACAAUAAGACUCAGGAAGUUAUGCACAGUAUAUCAGGGACAGCAGAGGAGAAGAGGGAGGGGAGAGGAGGUCAUAUGGUAAGUAUAGAAAAGAAAAAUUUGGGGGUGGAGAUGCUGUGCAUGCGAAUACCAGCCAAGACAGGGAACAUCUGGAAAACCUGCUCUGUAUUAUGUGGUCAUUCCACAAACUUUUCCAAGGAAUCACAUAAGGAGAAUAUUAUAUUUUAAUUAGAGUUGGGACUGAUCCAGAGAAAGGGGGGAAAAAGGAUGGUUUGGUGAACGAGCUGCAUUUUAGUUUGGCUGGGUCCAUGAAAUGCAAUUAACCACUUAGUUCCCUCUAGAGGUGCUCAGCCUAUUCCAAUGGCUCAGCGACUUAAUGAAACAUCACACUGGACUCUUUCUUGCUUAGCCUUAACCUGUUAAAAGGAGAGGAGAAGUAAUAGGUGAGUGUCAAUUGAAGAAAAGAGGUCAAACCUGGGACCUUUUCGUCAGGAGACCCCAGAAAGCCAAUAUGAUACCCUUGUCUCCCUCUGCCUUUCUUAUUUAUGUCACAUGGCAAGUUUAUCAGUUAUUCUCUGAAGGUAACUGGGAAAGAAUAGAUAUAUGAAUGUGAUGAGGUAUGUAAUUUAUUUAAGGUAAUAUUCUAUUUAAUUUUAUGAGAAAACACAAGUAUUAUGCCAAAAAAAAUAAAAUAUUCCACGUCUUGAGUCCUCCUUAAUAGAAAUUAAAUACAUUUUAAAUGCUAAUAAUUUAUUGUUUUUAGUUUAGCAUCUAAAAAAUUAAAUUUAAUGUAUCUAAUAUUAAUAGAAAGGAGUGAAAUAAAUAUUUCUUAGAACUUUGUUGUUGUUUACAAAUUCAUCAUCAUACAUUUAUUGAGUCCAAACUACAUAGUGGGAAUUGUCCUAGAAGAACCAACCUCUCCACUCAAGGGACUAGCAGUCCAGUAAGAGAGACAUGGCAUAGAGCCUUGAAAUGUUAAUGACAAUAUAAGACAAUGAUAUAUAUAAUGGCAGUCAGUAAAUUGCCAAGCUAAUGGUUUAGAAAGAAGCACCAUGGGCUCUAGGGGUAGAGAAAGCAGGGAUGGCUUCCUGAGAGAAGUAGUGAUUGUCUGGUCCUUGAAGGCUGGAUAGUAUCUGGAUAAGUGGAGAGGAGCCAGAGGAUCAAGCAGCGAGUGGUCUAUGCUCUGAGCAAAUGCCCAGGAAGGCGUUAAGAGUGUUCAAAGGGCAGAUGAUAGUGGUUGAGAAGAGGCUCCUGGAAGUGACACAGGGAGGGUGACAUUUUAAAGGAGUCAGUGGCCAGAAUAUAUAAGGCAUUGACAAAUGUCCUAGAUAAAGCAUUAUAGGGAUCGCAAAAGAUGUUGUUUGAGGAAGGAUCCCUGGUGUAGGGAAGAAAAGCUUAUAAUUGAAAAGGUCCAAAAUUAGUAUCUAGAGAUUUAAGGAGUACACAUACUGAACAUAUACCAGGAAUUACAAAAGUGGGAUACUUCCAAAUGUUUAAGGGAUGUUUUUUUCUUCAACGGUAUCUCUGUGGCACAUUACAGUUUGGACAUGAUGAUGUCCACAGUGAUUUCUCUGUUUCCCUUCCUUUAUACCCCAGACCCCAAAUUAUUAUGCCAUCUGAAAUAGUCUAAAUUCCUGACCCCUUGCAUUUUGACCCCAUGCCAAUAACAUGUCAACUCCCUUUCUUUCCUCUUUAAGCAUUAUCUUCUCCAGACAGUAUUUGGCCCUUAUACUUGAACACCAGACUUUGCAAAAGUUGGAGAAAUCUUGCAAAGAAGGAACAUGGCAUCCGAUUUUUGGACUCACCCUCCUUCGAUACUCUUCCAGCUGCUGUGUGUAUACAUACUGCUUGAUUUUAUUUAAUAAGAAAGCUCAAAAUGUUUCCCAAUUCAGAACAUAACCCUGCAUGCUGUUCCCUCUAGUCUAACCAGAAAUCCCAUUCUCCUCCUCCUCUAACUCAAUAAACCAAAUCUAAUUGGAGAAUAAUUAUAAAAUACACUGAUGUGCAAUUUGUUACACUAACCCAAUAAUUAAUUAAUAUGCUACUUAUGGUUCGGAAGAGCUCUUAAGACACAGCACAAAUACUGCUAGAUGAAAGAGAAUACCAAAGACAUAAACCAGGGGCAGUAUCUUUAUAUAAGACAGGCCAGGAGAUAAAGGCAAGA